ACCUCAUACAUAUGGCUCAGUUGGUAGAGCACGAGACUCUUAAUCUCAGGGCCAUGGGUUCAAGCACCAUGUUGGGCA